GCCGCGAGUCCGCAGUAGUUCGGGCCAUGGAGGCGGAGCCGCCGCUCUACCCGAUGGCGGGGGCUGCGGGGCCGCAGGGCGACGAGGACCGGCUCGGGGUCCCGGACGGGCCCGAGGCCCCGGUGAGCGGGGACCCGGAGUGCGAGGCGCGGGCGUCCCCUGUGGGCCAGGGUCCCCCCGGCGGGGGCGGGGCGGGCCGGGGGGCGGCGGGCACCGGGGGACACGGGUUCGGGGCGCGAUCGCGGGUGCGAGCGGCGUGCGUGGCCCGCAGCUGGACGAGCUGGUGGGCGCGUACCCCAACUACAACGAGGAGGAGGAGGAGCGCCGCUACUACCGCCGCAAGCGCCUGGGCGUGCUCAAGAACGUGCUGGCUGCCAGCGCCGGAGGCAUGCUCACCUACGGCGUCUACCUGGGCCUCCUGCAGAUGCAGCUGAUCCUGCACUACGACGAGACCUACCGCGAGGUGAAGUAUGGCAACAUGGGGCUGCCCGACAUCGACAGCAAAAUGCUGAUGGGCAUCAACGUGACUCCCAUCGCCGCCCUGCUCUACACACCUGUGCUCAUCAGGUUUUUCGGAACGAAGUGGAUGAUGUUCCUCGCUGUGGGCAUCUACGCCCUCUUUGUCUCCACCAACUACUGGGAGCGCUACUACACACUUGUGCCCUCGGCUGUGGCCCUGGGCAUGGCCAUCGUGCCUCUUUGGGCUUCCAUGGGCAACUACAUCACCAG
rnacentral:sRNA from 1 species